GUAGGGAAUAUUGGACAAUGGGGGGAACCCUGAUCCAGCCAUGCCGCGUGGAGGAAGACUGCCCUCUGGGUUGUAAACUCCUUUUAUAUGGGAAGAACCGUCCUCAUUAAUGAGUGACCUGACGGUACCAUAGGAAUAAGCACCGGCUAACUCCGUGCCAGCAGCCGCGGUAAUACGGAGGGUGCAAGCGUUAUCCGGAUUCACUGGGUUUAAAGGGUGCGUAGGCGGAUAAAUAAGUCAGUGGUGAAAUCAACGGGCUCAACCUGUUAACUGCCAUUGAUACUGUGUAUCUUGAAUAUGAGAGAGGUAGGCGGAAUGUUGCAUGUAGCGGUGAAAUGCUUAGAUAUGCUACGGAACACCGAUUGCGAAGGUAGCUUACUAUUUCGUAAUUGACGCUGAGGCACGAAAGCGUGGGUAGCGAACAGGAUUAGAUACCCUAGUAGUCC
rnacentral:rRNA from 1 species